AUUGAACGCUGGCGGCAUGCUUUACACAUGCAAGUCGAACGGUAACAGGUUAAGCUGACGAGUGGCGAACGGGUGAGUAAUGCAUCGGAACGUGCCCGGUCGUGGGGGAUAACGCAGCGAAAGCUGCGCUAAUACCGCAUACGAUCUGAGGAUGAAAGCGGGGGACCGUAAGGCCUCGCGCGAUCGGAGCGGCCGAUGUCAGAUUAGGUAGUUGGUGGGGUAAAGGCUCACAAAGCCGACGAUCUGUAGCUGGUCUGAGAGGACGACCAGCCACACUGGGACUGAGACACGGCCCAGACUCCUACGGGAGGCAGCAGUGGGGAAUUUUGGACAAUGGGCGCAAGCCUGAUCCAGCAAUGCCGCGUGCAGGAAGAAGGCCUUCGGGUUGUAAACUGCUUUUGUACGGAGCGAAAAGGCUCUCUCUAAUACAGGGGGCUGAUGACGGUACCGUAAGAAUAAGCACCGGCUAACUACGUGCCAGCAGCCGCAGUAA
rnacentral:rRNA from 1 species